UACGUAGGCAGCGAGCGUUGUUCGGAGUUACUGGGCGUAAAGCGUGCGUAGGCGGUUGUCUAAGUUUGGUGUGAAAUCUCCUGGCUUAACUGGGAGGGUGCGCCGAAAACUGGGUGACUGGAGUGUCGGAGAGGUAAGCGGAAUUCCUGGUGUAGCGGUGAAAUGCGUAGAGAUGCGGAGGAACACCGAUGGCGAAGGCAGCCCCCUGGGCUAGCACUGACGCUCAGGCACGAAAGCGUGGGGAGCAAACAGG
rnacentral:rRNA from 1 species